GGCCGCGGGAAUUCGAUUCAGGCCUAACACAUGCAAGUCGAGCGGUAAGGCCUUUCGGGGUACACGAGCGGCGAACGGGUGAGUAACACGUGGGUGAUCUGCCCUGCACUCUGGGAUAAGCUUGGGAAACUGGGUCUAAUACCGGAUAUGACCGCAUGCCGCAUGGUGUGUGGUGGAAAGAUUUAUCGGUGCAGGAUGGGCCCGCGGCCUAUCAGCUUGUUGGUGGGGUAAUGGCCUACCAAGGCGACGACGGGUAGCCGACCUGAGAGGGUGACCGGCCACACUGGGACUGAGACACGGCCCAGACUCCUACGGGAGGCAGCAGUGGGGAAUAUUGCACAAUGAGGGGAAGCCUGAUGCAGCGACGCCGCGUGAGGGAUGAAAACGGUCGGGUUGUAAACCUCUUUCAGCAGGGACGAAGCGUGAGUGACGGUACCUGCAGAAGAAGCCCC
rnacentral:rRNA from 1 species